CUUUGGGGGCAUUCGUAUUCAGAUGUCAGAGGUGAAAUUCUAAGAUUUUCUGGAGACGGACUACUGCGAAAGCAUUUGCCUAAUCUAUUUCCAUUAAUCAAGAACGAAAGUUAAGGGAGUGAAGACGAUCAGAUACCGUCGUAAUCUUAACCAUAAACUAUACCGACUAGGUGUUGGAUGAAUAUAAAAAAUAUAUAAAUAUGUAGCAUUUCUUAGGGAAUGUUGAUUUUAUAUUAGAAUUGCUUCCUUCAGUACCUUAUGAGAAAUCAAAGUCUUUGGGUUCUGGGGCGAGUAUUCGCGCAAGCGAGAAAGUUAAAAGAAUUGACGGAAGGGCACCACCAGGCGUGGAGCUUGCGGCUUAAUUUGACUCAACACGGGAAAACUCACUAGUUUAAGACAAGAGUAGGAUUGACAGAUUAAUAGCUCUUUCUUGAUUUCUUGGAUGGUGAUGCAUGGCCGUUUUUAGUUCGUGAAUAUGAUUUGUCUGGUUAAUUCCGAUAACGAACGAGAUCUUAACCUGCUAAUUAGCGGUAAGUACACUAUAUUUUUAUUUGAAAUUGAAUAUAGGUAAUUAUACAUGUUUAUUCAGUGUUCAAAUUAGGAUAUUUUUUUUAUUAAAAUAUUCUUUUCCCUGUUCUACUAUAAUAAUUUGUUUUUUUUUACUCUAUUUCUCUCUUCUUUUAAGAAUGUACUUGUUUGAUUAAAUAAAGCUUCUUAGAGGAACAGUGUGUAUCUAACACAAGGAAGUUUAAGGCAACAACAGGUCUGUGAUGUCCUUAGAUAAACUAGGCUGCACGCGUGCUACAAUGAUAUAUAUAACAAGUUGUUAAAAAUGUACUUAUAAAUAAGUGUGUACAGUUUUUCCUGUACUGAAAAGUAUAGGUAAUCUUUAUCAGUAUAUAUCGUAAUUGGGAUAGAUUAUUGCAAUUAUUAAUCUUGAACGAGGAAUGCCUAGUAAGCAUGAUUCAUUAGAUUGUGCUGACUACGUCCCUGCCCUUUGUACACACCGCCCGUCGCUCCUACCGAUUGAAAGAUAUGAUGAAUUGUUUGGAUAUGAAUUAAAAUAAUGAAAUUUUAUAUUUCUGAUUUUUUCUAGAAGAACUGUAAAUCCUAUCUUUUAAAGGAAGGAGAAGUCGUAACAAGGUUUCCGUAGGUGAACCUGCGGAAGGAUCAUUA
rnacentral:ncRNA from 1 species